GAAGAGGAGUGUUUGUGUAUUUUAACAACAUUUUGGUGGGUCUUGUUUUGUUUUCCCUUUUUAGAUGGUGUUGACAUGUUUGCCAGGAAGGAGCUUUUCUAUCAACAGAUGCUUCUGUCGAGGCUUGAGGAAGAAAGGCAAAUCCUCGCGAAGGAAAUGAUGCAGCAUUGUUCAUAUUUGAACCAUUUACACAAAAAGGUCCAUGCCCUCCUCAUGAACAUUCUGGAUUUCCCCAGGAGUUCAGUGUCUGAAGAAACUCUGCCGACUGAGGAAGGUUCAAGUGGUCUUCACUGUUACCUUAAGAAGAGACUUCAAGAGAUUAAGCAUGAGAAAGAAACUGUGUUCAAAUGCUACAGAUCUCUUCUUCAAAUGAAGACUGUCUUUGGCUGCAUGAUAGUCUGGAGAUGAACUGGCAGACGGAGCGUGAGUCUUCAGACGAUGACGAGGUGGACACGGAGGAGGAGGAGGAGGAGGAGGAGACAUGGGAGGAUCAGGAAAAAUGAUAAGGGGAGUACUGCAACAUCCAAAACCUUGUGCUCUGUUUACACCAAUAAUAAAAUACGUUUAAACUAAGAUCUGUUUCCUUUUUUGGAUUUAUUAAAAAAAAUUGGAUGUAGAAUGUCUUUUUUUUUUUCAAAAUCUGUGCUUCAAUGAAAAGCCAUUCCCUCUUUUGUUGUUUAAAAUUCAAAAUAUGAUAUUGUGUGGUCAUUUAUUUGGCAUGUCUUUUGAAAGUGUGCACUU